rnacentral:rRNA from 1 species
AUGGGGGCUUCCUCUUGUUCCUCCGUGCGGCUGCUGCUGCCGCUGCUCUGCCUGCUGGGCUUCUGCUUCGCGGCGAGCCACCAGAAGUCGGACUCCUGCGACGGGGACCUCCAGGUGGCGCGCCUCGUCCCCUUCGACACCGACGCCUUCCACUGCAUCACGCUCUGGAAGGACGAGGACUUCAUCCUCAGGUACAAGAACACGGGGUCGAGCCAGUGGAGCUUCGUGCUGUCGGCGCCGGAGAAGAGAUCCUACGUGGCGGUCGGGUUCUCGGGCAAGGGGGGCAUGGUCGGCAGCAGCGCCAUGGUCGGCUGGUCGUCGGGCGGCAAGGGCGUCGCCAAGCAGUACUACCUGCAGGGCAGGAGCCCGGAGGCCGUGACCCCGGACGACGGCCGGCUCACCCUGGUCAGGAACCGGACCGUCGCCGUGUCCAAGUCCGGCCGGCUCUACCUGGCCUUCGAGCUCAGCACCGACCGCCCGCAGCCGUACCUGAUCUACUCCGUGGGCUACGAGGGCAGCCUCCCUUCCUCCUCCGACUACACGAUCCAGAUGCACCGCGACAUGGGCUCCCGCUCCUUCAAGUUCGCCUCCGCGUCGCCGUCUAGCGCCGGCGGCGAGUCGGGCGAGGAGGGGUUCCCGGCGAAGAGGUGGCACGGGCUGCUGUCCAUGAUGGGGUGGGGCGUGCUGCUGCCGAUGGGCAUGAUGGUGGCGCGCUACUUCCGGCGGCAGGACCCCUACUGGUUCUACGGCCACAUCGCCGUGCAGGGGCUCGGCUUCCUCAUCGGCAUCGCGGCGGUGGUCCUCGGCUUCCGCCUCAACGGGGACGGGCUCAAGAACAUCGUCGUGCACAAGGUCAUCGGCAUCUCCAUCCUGUCCAUGGCAUGCCUCCAGGUGACGGCGGUGCUGGCGCGGCCGGACAAGACGUCCAAGGUGCGUCGGUUCUGGAACUGGUACCACCACAACAUCGGGCGCGUGGCCAUCCUUCUCGCCAUGGCCAACGUCUUCCUCGGCCUCACCAUCGCCAAGGAGGUGAGCGCCUACAUCGUCUCCUACGGCGUCUUCGUCGCCGUCUGGAUCAUGGCCGUCGCCGCCUUCGAGUUCAAGCGCUACUACGAGGACGACGACUGA